rnacentral:lncRNA from 1 species
AGGGCUUGUUUAUUUUCAAAAUUUUUACAAUUUUUUUUCAAUUUUUUUGUUAUAUCGAAUCUUAUUACACAUACACAGAACAUUAAAUAUAAAUAAAUAAAUAAAUAAUUUACAAUUUGCCUGUAAUUUAGAAGACAGACCUUUUAAGUCUAAUUAAGGGGUGUUGGGACUGCUCCGCUCUAGUUUUUCCAGCUCCACUCCAGUUUUGCGUUGCCAAACACGUCUAGCUCCACGAACUCCGCUCCGCAAAAAAGGUGGAGCUAGAGGCCAGCUCCAUAUUUUUUCUGAAGUACCUCAAGGGGUACUCUAGUUUUUGGAGUCUGGUACUCCCACAUAAAGUUGUGAGGUAAUUACCCACGUUGCCACUCGUUAAUCAUGGAUUAGUUCUCAUAAACCCUAUCCUUCCGAUGUCGUGACCUAAUUUCUUUCUGUCUGCGCCGCCCCUGUUAAUUAUUUGUAUUUUAAUUAUGACCUCUGUUAAUGUUCCAUCAAGAGCAAUUUCGAUUAGGGGGAUAAUAGAUUAUUUGCAUGGAAACAACCCAUUUUUAGAGUUGGAGCAAAGCUACGUGCCA